AGUGAACGCUGGCGGUAGGCCUAACACAUGCAAGUCGAACGGCAGCACAGUAAAAGCUUGCUCUUACGGGUGGCGAGUGGCGGACGGGUGAGGAAUACAUCGGAAUCUACUUUUUCGUGGGGGAUAACGUAGGGAAACUUACGCUAAUACCGCAUACGACCUACGGGUGAAAGAAGGGGAUCUUCGGACCUUGCGCGAUUGAAUGAGCCGAUGUCGGAUUAGCUAGUUGGCGGGGUAAAGGCCCACCAAGUCGACGACCCGUAGCUGGUCUGAGAGGGUGAUCAGCCACACUGGAACUGAGACACGGUCCAGACUCCUACGGGAGGCAGCAGUGGGGAAUAUUGGACAAUGGGCGCAAGCCUGAUCCAGCCAUACCGCGUGGGUGAAGAAGGCCUUCGGGUUGUAAAGCCCUUUUGUUGGGAAAGAAAAGCAGCAGGUUAAUACCCCGCUGUUCUGACGGUACCCAAAGAAUAAGCACCGGCUAACUUCGUG
rnacentral:rRNA from 1 species